rnacentral:rRNA from 1 species
UACGUAGGGGGCAAGCGUUGUCCGGAAUCAUUGGGCGUAAAGCGCGUGUAGGCGGCUCGUUAAGUCUGGUGUGAAAUCCUGCGGCUCAACCGCAGACUGUCACUGGAUACUGUCGAGCUUGAGUCCGGAAGAGGAGAGUGGAAUUCCUGGUGUAGCGGUGGAAUGCACAGAUAUCUGGAGGAACACCGGUGGCGAAGGCGCCACUCUGGGCCGAAACUGACGCUGAGGAGCGAAAGCAUGGGUAGCAAACAGG